AGAGUUUGAUCCUGGCUCAGGAUGAACGCUGGCGGCGUGCCUAACACAUGCAAGUCGAACGAAGCGUCCCGCCCGAAGAGAAGGAGUGCUUGCACAAAUUUAAUUCAAUUGGGGCGACUUAGUGGCGGACGGGUGAGUAACGCGUGGGUAACCUGCCUUAUACAGGGGGAUAACAGUUAGAAAUGACUGCUAAUACCGCAUAAGCGCACAGAAUCGCAUGAUACAGUGUGAAAAGCCUUGACGGUAUAAGACGGACCCGCGUCUGAUUAGCCAGUUGGCAGGGUAACGGCCUACCAAAGCGACGAUCAGUAGCCGGCCUGAGAGGGUGAACGGCCACAUUGGAACUGAAACACGGUCCAGACUCCUACGGGAGGCAGCAGUGGGGAAUAUUGCGCAAUGGGCGAAAGCCUGACGCAGCGACGCCGCGUGAGGGAUGAAGGUCUUCGGAUCGUAAACCUCUGUCAGAAGGGAAGAAAGCAGCGGGUGCCAAUCAGCCUGCUGUUGACGGUACCUUCAAAGGAAGCACCGGCUAACUCCGUGCCAGCAGCCGCGGU
rnacentral:rRNA from 1 species